UUGUAAAGACAGGAGACGCCGACGAAAGGCGGAGAAGGCUCUCUUUGUUUUGAAUCAUUAAGUCUUGCUCGGGCAAAAACAGGAGAUGCUGACAGGGCAAAGAGGGUUCUCUGUGUCACGUUCCUUUAAGGCUCGCUCGAGUAAAAAGGCCGAGCAGAGAUGGAGAGUCAUGGAGUAUCCCGCAUGUACUGUAUAAGGCCCGCUCGGGUGAAGACAGAAGACGCCGAGAAAAAGCGGUGAAGGCUUUCUGUAUCCCGUUUUAUUAAAUUUCGCGCAGGGCGAGAAUUUUUUGUUCUUUUUUAUUGAGCACUUCCUCCGUGAGUGACACAGCUUCCGAAAGACUACUCAUCCAGGGAAAUGGAGAAAAAUUGUGGAUUGGAGCUACAGUCAAUUUUACCAAAAAUGGGCAUUUGAGUGACAGGGCAAGGACCCCGAAUAAAAGGCAAGAGAACAGGCUGGACGAUCGUGGACCUUGGUCAGGAGAAGUGCGGCUAUCAAGUCUGGAGAGGUCCUUCUUCGGUAGGGUAGAUGAGGAGAGGUCCGAAUAGAGUUACCGGCCUGGACGCUUCCUUAUGACGAGCGCCCCGAGGUGCGGGUGCGACCCCUUUUUAUGCUCGUCCCGCAGAGGGAACUAUCGGGGAAUUCUAAUGCAAUCCGGUCCAAGUUCGAUUUGCGUCCGGGUGUUGUUUAUGUUAAUUGUCAGAAAUCGAACUUUUCGACAAAUUUAUUACCUUUUUCUAUCCGGUAUCGUUACUUAUUUUACCUCAUUAAACUGAUAACAUCUGCCAAACAUACUAAAUUAAUUGCUGGUCAGAGUUUGGGUUACAACCUUAGUAAUAAUUGUUAAAUUGGAGAGAUAUUUGAUCGGUUUUAUCUAUUAAGAAAUAGGGAGAAAUUGUGUGCGUGUUUUUUUCCACUUGGUUAAUUAACCAACUUUUUGUUUACUUUUUUCUCCGACCUUUGACUCGAUCCUUAUGUCAUUGUAUUAACAUAUAACAAAAUUAUUUAAUUAGUAAAUUAUUCCCUUCGAAUAAUAAUGAAAAAUUGUUGUUAUUUAACGUUUAAAUGCGUAGUGGAAUGCGUUAUUUCCGGCGCGCUGUUCAUCGACUUCCUCCUCCAUCCCCAACCCCACCGU